CCUGGGAGAAGAACCCAACUUGCACCUGACUACAACCUCCUUUCAGGAAUCUGGGCUUGCAGAUAGGAAGACAAUAAUGGAAGCUGAGGAGCAAACCCUGGUUUACUGUGAGCCAUCAGACUUUGUAUAAUGAAGAAGAGGAAGUGAAAGCUCAUCCCCUGAAGUAUCUUCUAGGAGUUUAGAAGAAACAAGUUUCCAGGAAGACCUUAGGCAGGGACACAACUUCAUCUUGUAAGAGCAGCUCUCUGUGUAGGGGCAUGGAAAGAGAAGGCAGGAGGAGACAGUGCAGGGCAGCAGCACUGCCAGCAGCACACAGCAGAUGGGAAAUCCAAAGAACUGAGACACAGCAGGAAGCAAGAAGUAGGUGUACAGAGUCUUGAAGAGUCAGCUCGAAUGCGACAAGGUAGGAAAAAAGGGCACAAGGGUGGAAGAGCUUUGUGACUUUGCCAGACUGGAAGGACAGCAAGGUGCUCCCUGCAGAUGGUUGUGCUCAGAUCUGGCGACAUUUGCAUUUGCCUUUCUCAGAUGGAGUAUUUGUGCCAGAUAGGAACACAGAAACUUAAAAUAAAAAUGUGCUCUCUUUUACACCUCUGUCCCUUCAGAUUUAGACAUAAUAGAAGAAACUGUGCUUAUUCUGGACUAAGUGGAAUCAAACAGCCCCACUCUCUCUGGAGCUGCUGUGUCCUGUUAGUGCUGUCAACCUUGCUCAGUACAGACUGAAUUAUUGAACUUCCUGAACUCCCAGUUUUGUCACUUCCUUGCACUCACUCAAUUUUUGUGUAUUAAGUUGGACGAUUUGUUCACGACAAAGAAGAACUUCAAACCCAGACACUUCCGUUUAUUUGCUGCAUUCUCUUACCUAGGUUUGGAUAUGAACACAAUCUCAAACUGUUACAAGAGUAACAAGAACAACAUUUUCUCUUCCUUUCAGAAGCUUUUGAUGAUUUCCAAGAGCCAAAAGCUAAUUAUUUUGGCACAAAGAGGCACCAAAGAAACUUUUCUCCAUGGCAUUGCUGUAUAGCCGCUUGACACUUUUGUCUGAGACGAGAAAGAAAGAGAGGCAUAAUAAAAAGCCCAUGUUUGUCUUUUUUGAGAUACAGAACAGUUUCACUGCAAGAAGAAAUUAAAUAGACAAAGGCUCUUCAGGUUGGAAAAAAAAGAUGACUGCAGAGGGAAAUUAUGGCAGUCUGUAAAACACAGAACGGAGAAGGUAAAUGCAGAGUAAUUGUUCACUUUCUCUUGCAGCACAAAAGCUGAGUGGGCAUCCAACAAAGGCAUUUAGCAGCAGGUUUAAAACAAACACACCCAAAAGGAAGUACUCUUUCCUACCAUCCAUAAUUGCCUUGUGGCAGUCAGUGUGCCUCAGGAGGUUGUGAAGACUGAAAAUGGAUUUUAAAAGGCAUUAAACAAAUUCAUGUGGGACAGUGUAAUCUAAGAGCAAAUAAACACUGUAGCUUUGGUGAAACUUUUGUGUUUUCAAAGCCUUACCCAGAGCUGGGAGGAGGCACCAAGUGGAGAUGAUUCGGUAUGUGGCCUUUUCCUCCCUCCCUGUGCUGUUCCUGGAAGCAGCGUGGCAGUUCCUGUUCCCUGCUGAACUCGAAUAUUUCACAUCACUGAGGAGCUGCAAACGUUCUCUGCAUCCUCCUGCCCGACUCUACCUUCCAGCAGACUCCCUCGGAGGGCAGGAGAUGCUUCUGACAGGGCUUUGCAAUCCAACCCUCCCCCCAUUUUCCCUAGAGCAACCACACUUAUAAUUGUGCAGAGAGAGAAUAUUGCGUUAGUGCAGGUUAAACCAAGGAAAAUUUCAAUCCUAUGUUUUGGCAUUUAAUUACAGCAUUUAUCUCAUAUUAUAAGGGUAGAAAAUGCAGCUGCCCCCAUUACUGGUCAAAAUGCUUGUUAGUUCUCAAUAAUAAUUCAGUACUUUCUGCAAAACAAAAAAAACCCCAACAAAACAAACAAACAAAAAAAAAAGACAAAGCAACCAAGUAACUGGUCUCCAUAGCCAAGUGAAACUAACGAUUUACCUCAGACAGCAAGGAAAACCAAACAAACAAAAAGAAAAACCAGAAAAUCCACCCUGAAGUCACUCAGUUUCAUUUUUAAAAAAAUGUGUCUACAAUAAAAGAUUUUAUAUUCGACAUUCAUAUAAAAGACAAAAUUUCCAGUUAUGAUUGUGCUCACCCUUUUAUUAAAAAAAUGCUGUAAUAAUGACAAUUCCCAUCCAAAGAUUUUCAAAUUUCAAUUAUUCCCUAUUCAGCUAAACCCAUUGUGUUUUCAAGGAAAAUCCAGCUGAACUGGGAGUUUGUGCCAGCCUUUCCCAUGUCACAACAAGCUCAUUUGUCACCCCAACACUUCUGCAGCCUUGCACAACACACACUCUGCAUCACCACCAAGCCAGGGACAGGCAGCUUGUCCCUUAUCCCCAGCAGCCCCACCCUCCUACCACCCCCUGUACAUGCUCCCCUUUCCUCCCAGCACACACAUCCUGCUCCCUCAUCUUACCAUCCAGCAGAAAAGCGGGAGAGAAGAAAGCAGCAGACAAGGGGGAAGGGAAAAGGACACAGUGGGUAAUCAAUGCUGGGUACAAGUCUUAUAUAUGUAUUUACAGGAAAUGAAAUUAAAAAUGCAAGGGGGAAGACCACAAAAGCCUAGUGACAGUGGCACAGUGGAAAUCUGUGAUGAGCUACUGGUGAAUUAAGGUUUCCAUAGCACUUGUAUUCUCAGUUUAGGAGUAGGUUAAAAUGAAAAAUAGAGGCAAAUGGUUACACGUGCACUAAGGCAGGGGGAUCUUGAGUUGGUCAGCACCCCUGGUGGUGUGGGUCUUCUGGGAAGGGAGUCGCUGAGACUGGACUGUGCCCUUCAGGGGGUUGUAUGUCAGCACAAUGCUUUGGGUUUCCAGCUAAGUGCUCACAAAGCUUUUUCCCUUCUCUACUUGCUCAGGUCUUCUCAGUGCUCACACAUUAUGGAACACAGAUGACAGAGCAAAUAAAAUGCAGGAAAAUGGAUGGAUAGAGGAAAAAAAAAAGAAAUAAACAUUUGAAAAGUAGAUAUGAAAAAACAAGUAUAGAUCAGGAGGGAAAUAAGCAAAGAGAGAAGCACAGUACUACAAGGUUCCUGCUGUUCUUGAGAAAGAGCCACUGUGAUGCAAAAUACAUAACUCAGCACAUUGAAAUAAUGAACUACCCUUUGAUACACAUAAAAGGAGUUUACCUGAAUCAUGUCUCAGGAAAACAAUCACCUGAUAAAGCUAAAAUCACCAUAAAAAUAUAAGUUAAUUUUUUAAUUCAGAAGUAGGAACUAAAGAGAGUAUUUAGCCAUCAGACUGCUUAAAAAACCAGAACAGUAUAUUACAUCUUAGUGUAUCAAAGCAGAACACUUCAGAAUGGUGGCAACAAAAGAAAAAUUUGCCUUAGCUUUCCAAAAAGACUUUCAGUGAAACACAGACGUUUCAGUUAAUGGGCUUUGACUGUGGGUAUUUUAGCUCUAGGCAGUCUUGCCUGGUGCACUUUGAGCUUAAUUCUCUGAGGUAUCAAUCACUUGAAACUCCAGAUGAACUCAGGAAGAUCAGCAGCUGAUUCUAGUCAGAGUCAAGCCCAGCUGUCCCAAAAUGGUUAAUCAAAGAGGCAUUAAAAAAUGUGAAUCCAGCAAGGAUAUGGUAACCAGGGGUUCAUGCAUUAAGAAAGCAGCAGGACCCUAAAUCUGAUGAUACUGCCUGUAUCAUCAUAAAUGGCAGAGUAAAAAACAGAAAAUGUCCUGACAGUGAUAUCCAAAUGUAUUCUUUUCCAAAUGCAGCACAAGCUGCAACAUGCAGCACUCGUGCCUGAGGAAGAGCAGUCCCUGGGCCUGAGGAGCAAGCAGGACAGCACCUGUAGCCAUGUGGGUUGUGGCUCCUGCAGGGAAUGCAGUUAGGGCCGGUGCAUUCCUUGCUAAUUAAAUACAGUCCUAGGCUACCAGCCAAUUACCUCUGCAACCUUACCAGGGCCACAUUUGCAAAUCUCUGGUCAAAUAUGGGAUAUGUGGAACACUUGAAAGGUAAGUAAACUCAAAUUUAAAGCCUUACUGCAUACCAGAUACAACCAUAAUAUUUUUCUUACUUGUUUACUAUUUUCAAGCAAAAGCAGCAAAGACUCUCUGGACUCUUAACUUCCCAUUGCUUGCAGAGGCUCAGAAAGCUCUCCCAUGAGCCCUUUGCUUCCAGGCUCUGGGACUGACACAUCUACAGCACCCCCAGCUCCCUGGAGCUGGUGAUGUGGCAAACAGGGAGGGCAAUAAAAUGAGGUGGGGCAGUGCUGCAGCAACACCGUGGAAAACUGCUGUACUUGCUGUGAGUGUAACAUGGAGACUCCUGCAGUCAGCUCAGUUCUUUGUCAAAGUACAAAAUGAGAAUCUUAUCUUUUCCAAAGCUUUCCUUGAAACACUAUACAGAGCUGUGCCUGUGUGUAAGCUUUAUCCUCAGCUGCUCCUUUCCCAAUAGAUAGGCAAAAGAGUGUGAUCUGAUUUCAGAGGCCAGGGCUACACUCUGCAUUCUGCCUCCAAAUAGAGCUUUUCCUUAACACCUUUAAAACAAAGCCGGCUCAUCUAGGAAAUGGGGCUCUGCAGACAGUGGGCUUUAGGGGUUUGGUGACAGUUCUUUCUUGCUGAGAUUUGUUUUCUGGUCAGAGCCUAAUCAUGAGUUUUCCAGCAGUACAGAACAUGCACAUAACUCAGCAAGGCAGCUGGCAGUGGCCACAUCCUUCCAAAAUCCAGUGAUCAGGAUUAAACAAGCUUGGUAAAAAUCCUUGUUUUGUGAUUACUCUGCAACCAAGAAAGCAGCUGGGAAUGAUUCUGUCACUACCAGGUCUUCCCACACAUCCUGCUUUCAUCUUAAUUUUUAUUCAUUGGAACAUGCAAAUUUCCUGUGACACGGGCUGAAAUUGCUUCUAUUGCAUUUCCAAAAGACAUCAGAGGAUUUCAGCAUCAGUCACUAUGUCACACAGGCCAUUAAACAAAUUUUAACGGACAAUAGCAGAAAAAAACCCUGAACCAAAAAACAUACCGAAAAACUCAGUUCUCCCUCUGGAAACACUAUUGUUUAUUGCUGUCAAGGUCAAUGAAACUAUAGGCAAACUGUUUCAGCGAGCCAGGCAGAUUUAUGUGUGCUAAUAUUCCACAUUGUUAGUGCAGAAAUAUUUUAAGAGCAGUUAAAAUCAGAAGUGGGAAGGCAUCAGAUACAGCAGCUGAAUAAAAACUCUUGAGUGGCAUUGAGGCCAAUCUGCUGCCUCUCCAAGAGUCCCUUCCUUUUUGAAUCUUGGGAGAGAGAGACAAACAGGUCAAUUUCUUCAAAUUCAGUGAAGAAAAUAUGAAUUUUUGGCCUCAGAGACUAGGGACUCUUUGCUGCUCCCCAGAGAAGACCCAAAUUGUAUCCAGUUCCUUCAGCCAUCCCAGAUGUCUGCCCCAGAAUCCUGCAUACAAAGCAAAGAAAGUCCCAUAAAAAGCAAGUAUCAUCAUGCUGGAAGAAGCUCUCCAGAUGAGCCCAGGUCUGGGAUCAUAACAAAUGGAAACACUUCUCCCAGCCAUGGUGAUGGGCAUGUCAUACAUCUCUUGUAAUAAUCAAAUUAUUUGUUUGUUAAAAAAUGAAGCCUUUUGUAUCUUAGCAAAAACUAAAGCAGGGAGCAUAACCAACCAUCAAGACUGAGCAACAGAGACACUCUCCUGUUACUGGUUUAGUUGCCAAUAUUUUAGUUUAGUGACAGAUAUUAGUCCCAACUGUUAACAGUCGUAUAAACCAAUUCACAUCCAGCAUGUUUCACAUGGUGUCAGUGUUUUAUUCUCAUUCACUGAGGAAGAAAUCAGUAUCUAAUCAAAAGGAGCCAAAGGCUCUUGUCAUUGAAAAUCACCUUGACUGCUGCGUGCCCCCUUUUCUUCACCACCCAGCAAAAUUUUGACUAUUGUUAACAGGUUUGGUUUGGUUUUUUGUUCUUUUAAAUGGUACACUUUGUGCCUUUUUCAUCUAAAUCAGGUAACAUUUGCAGCCUGGCCUUAGAUGACUAAGGGCAAUACAGGGAAUAAAAGGCAGAAAUGAAACAGAACUUCAAUUUCCUUACUUAAAGUUAUGAGCUUUACCACUCUCCAGUGCUGCCUCCCUCACUGAAAUAGUAAAGUGUAAGUGCAGGCAGCUCUGGUGUUCAGAUUAUAUGAUCCCAGCCUUCGUCUUUUGUUGUUGCUCGUUCAUCCUUUUUAUGUAACUGUUGCCUUAGCUGUGAAACCCAUAAAGGUCAACUUGACUCUAAACUGUAUCAUUGGGAAGAGUUAUCAAUAUUGCAGACAAAGCAUACAAAGCUGCCACACAUUUUCUUGAUUUUUGGGAGAAAGUAUGUUGGUAACUUUAUUCUAAAUGCAACUGCUUCUGUGAAAAUACCUCUGCAAUCGAACUUACUGCUUAAGAUUGGGCCUGCAAGAGGAGGAAGCUGUAAAGAAAUGACACAGUCUUGCUAAUAACUGUGUAGAGGGCAGAAAUAAGGUCAGACAGCACUGCUGCUGUCUUUACUAAAUUCCAUGGAUUUAAUUUUUGUCUCCCAUUGCUAUAAUUUCAGUGGUAUUGCUUUAUCGACUUUUAUCCUAAUGUAAUCCAAUGUAUCCCAACUGUUCAUUGUUUCUCUUAGUAAAAUAUUUCUUGUGGGUGUAAUAAGAUUUUGGUGAA